rnacentral:rRNA from 1 species
CCUACGGGAGGCAGCAGUGGGGAAUAUUGCACAAUGGGGGAAACCCUGAUGCAGCGACGCCGCGUGAAGGAAGAAGUAUUUCGGUAUGUAAACUUCUAUCAGCAGGGAAGAAAAUGACGGUACCUGACUAAGAAGCCCCGGCUAACUACGUGCCAGCAGCCGCGGUAAUACGUAGGGGGCAAGCGUUAUCCGGAUUUACUGGGUGUAAAGGGAGCGUAGGCGGUGCAGCAAGUCAGAAGUGAAAGCCCGGGGCUCAACGCCGGGACUGCUUUUGAAAAUGUUGAACUAGAGUGCAGGAGAGGUAAGUGGAAUUCCUAGUGUAGCGGUGAAAUGCGUAGAUAUUAGGAGGAACACCAGUGGCGAAGGCGGCUUACUGGACUGUAAAUGACGCUGAGGCUCGAAAGCGUGGGGAGCAAACAGGAUUAGAUACCCUGGUAGUC